rnacentral:sRNA from 1 species
ACUGUAAGAUCGAUGGGCUUCACGUCUUCUCCAGUGGGAGUGAUGGGCGCCGGCGGCACGGAUUCCGGAGCCUGACUGCUGUCUACAGCGGCCUGAAGGGUGAGAAGCACGGCCGCGGAAGCAGACACCAGGUUGGGCUGCAGCUGGGCAGUCUGGGCAGUGGAGGCAGAAGAUGGAGUCUUGCUUAGUUGCCGAAGCUGGAGUAUUGUGGCUCGAUCUCAGCUCUGCAACCUCUGCCUCCCAGGGUUCAAGCAAUUCUCCUGUCUCAGUUUCCAGAGUAGCUAGAAUUAUAGAUUCUGGGAAAGCGAACUCCACGGAAGACUCAGAAACCAAGUUCUAAUUCAGUUGCCAUGAAAACUUAAGGUGAGGGGAUUGUCAAUCAGUGAAAAAUACGGAGGAAAACACUAACAGAAUAUGAUGAAGAAGCCAACACUUGGGCUGCUUGCAUUACAUUAACCGAGGUUUACCCGCAGCGAGGCUGCCUCCAAAGCAGCCAGAGUUUGCAACCGUCACUGUCCAACCCGCGAGCUGCGAUAGUGCGAGAACUACAAUUCCCGUGGGGCUGUGCGGGAG